rnacentral:rRNA from 1 species
AGAGUUUGAUCCUGGCUCAGGAUGAACGCUGGCGGCGUGCUUAACACAUGCAAGUCGAACGGGAAACCUUUUAUUGAAGCUUCGGCAGAUUUAGAUUGUUUCUAGUGGCGGACGGGUGGGUAACGCGUGGGUAACCUGCCUUAUACAGGGGGAUAACAGUCAGAAAUGACUGCUAAUACCGCAUAAGCGCACAGAGCUGCAUGGCUCGGUGUGAAAAACUCCGGUGGUAUAAGAUGGACCCGCGUUGGAUUAGCUAGUUGGUGAGGUAACGGCCCACCAAGGCGACGAUCCAUAGCCGGCCUGAGAGGGUGAACGGCCAGAUUGGGACUGAGACACGGCCCAGACUCCUACGGGAGGCAGCAGUGGGGAAUCUUGCGCAAUGGGGGGAACCCUGACGCAGCGACGCCGCGUGCGGGACGGAGGCCUUCGGGUCGUAAACCGCUUUCAGCAGGGAAGAGUCAAGACUGUACCUGCAGAAGAAGCCCCGGCUAACUACGUGCCAGCAGCCGCGGUAAUACGUAGGGGGCGAGCAUUAUCCGGAUUCAUUGGGCGUAAAGCGCGCGUAGGCGGCCCGGCAGGCCGGGGGUCGAAGCGGGGGGCUCAACCCCCCGAAGCCCCCGGAACCUCCGCGGCUUGGGUCCGGUAGGGGAGGGUGGAACACCCGGUGUAGCGGUGGAAUGCGCAGAUAUCGGGUGGAACACCGGUGGCGAAGGCGGCCCUCUGGGCCGAGACCGACGCUGAGGCGCGAAAGCUGGGGGAGCGAACAGGAUUAGAUACCCUGGUAGUCCCAGCCGUAAACGAUGGACGCUAGGUGUGGGGGGACGAUCCCCCCGUGCCGCAGCCAACGCAUUAAGCGUCCCGCCUGGGGAGUACGGCCGCAAGGCUAAAACUCAAAGGAAUUGACGGGGGCCCGCACAAGCAGCGGAGCAUGUGGCUUAAUUCGAAGCAACGCGAAGAACCUUACCAGGGCUUGACAUAUGGGUGAAGCGGGGGAGACCCCGUGGCCGAGAGGAGCCCAUACAGGUGGUGCAUGGCUGUCGUCAGCUCGUGUCGUGAGAUGUUGGGUUAAGUCCCGCAACGAGCGCAACCCCCGCCGCGUGUUGCCAUCGGGUGAUGCCGGGAACCCACGCGGGACCGCCGCCGUCAAGGCGGAGGAGGGCGGGGACGACGUCAAGUCAUCAUGCCCCUUAUGCCGUGGGCUGCACACGUGCUACAAUGGCCGGUACAGAGGGAUGCCACCCCGCGAGGGGGAGCGGAUCCCGGAAAGCCGGCCCCAGUUCGGAUUGGGGGCUGCAACCCGCCCCCAUGAAGUCGGAGUUGCUAGUAAUCGCGAAUCAGAAUGUCGCGGUGAAUACGUUCCCGGGUCUUGCACUCACCGCCCGUCA